rnacentral:rRNA from 1 species
UACGUAGGGUGCGAGCGUUGUCCGGAAUUACUGGGCGUAAAGAGCUCGUAGGUGGUUUGUCGCGUUGUCCGUGAAAACUCACAGCUUAACUGUGGGCGUGCGGGCGAUACGGGCAGACUGGAGUACUGCAGGGGAGACUGGAAUUCCUGGUGUAGCGGUGGAAUGCGCAGAUAUCAGGAGGAACACCGGUGGCGAAGGCGGGUCUCUGGGCCGAUACUGACGCUGGAGGAGCGAAAGCCGUGGGGGAGCGAACAGG